GAUGAACGCUGGCGGCGUGCCUAACACAUGCAAGUCGAACGGGGGCAGAUUGAAACCUAGUGAUAUCUGCCCGAGUGGCGGACGGGUGAGUAACGCGUGGACAACCUGCCGCAUGCAGGGGGAUACCGGCUGGAAACAGCCGCUAAUACCGCAUAUGCGCACAGCGCCGCAUGGCGCCGUGCGGAAAGGGAGCGAUCCCGGCAUGCGAUGGGUCCGCGUCCGAUUAGCUUGUUGGCGGGGCAGCGGCCCACCAAGGCGACGAUCGGUAGCCGGCCUGAGAGGGCGGACGGCCACAUUGGGACUGAGACACGGCCCAG
rnacentral:rRNA from 1 species